AAGUCGUAACAAGGUUUCCGUAGGUGAACCUGCGGAAGGAUCAUUAACACGUUUUCGUUCCAAAACGUUUCUUGAACCAUUUCAUUUUCUGUGCACCCCCUUGAAACCGGCCUCCUGAGCCGUCCUCCGGGUUUACUCGGUGUGACCUGCUCGGGCGUCUUUUUUGAGGGAACUUUCGGGUUCCUUUUUAAAAAAGGCGUUGCCAUCCAACCCCAAACCCUUUAACCUGUAUGUCUGAACUCUGAAGUUGAAAUUCAUUUUUCAACGACUAAAAACAAAUAACAACUCUUAACAACGGAUAUCUUGGUUCUC
rnacentral:misc_RNA from 1 species